UUUGGUCAUGGUCAUUUUCAUAGAUUUAUGUUAUGUUUUUGCCUUGCUUCUAUAUUUUUAAGACUUCAUCUAUUCCGAUGUCAAUUAUUUAUUAUUUCGCAUUGCAAGAUCGCAUUAUAACGACUCAUAGAAUAGGUAAAUAGCUUAUCUUAUAAAUUUAGAAGCCAUGGAUGUAUAUAUAUAAUAUUCACAUAACGCGAAGUUCUCCAGUUUCGUGCCGAAUGAAACACAUUGAUUUAUCGGACAUUGACCAGAUAUUGUUUUUAUAAUGCAUCUUAAGGGCAUACGAUACAGUUACAGGGGAGGUAAUGACGUUGCUAAUGUAAAAUGUUAUUUUCGCGACGUCAAACUGUGACAUAUUGGGAAAAGAUGCAUUUUUCGACUAAUUUUUAUCAUUCAAACUGAUUUAAUUUGAGUGCAUGGACCUCCAUUUUUUUAAAACGGCAUUUUGUUUCAUUUUGCGGGGAGAUAAUUUGGACCAAGUUUUAUAAAACUGUAAAUAGUGCAAUUUUUUUAAUUUUGAAAAAUAUAUAGCAAAAAAUGACGUUUUUUUCUCAAUUCAUGACCAUUUGAUAAAUAUGAGUUAUUUCUGAACAAAAAAUGCAUAAAUUUUUAGAAUACUUAUAAAAUACAGAAAUUACAAAUUAUUUAACAAAAAACAAUUUGUGUUUAUAUUUUAAAACAAAAAAGUUAUGUCUUUCUUUCGAAAGGUAAAUUACGGCCACAAAUCCGAAUUUUGAGCAAAUAUACCAAAUUUCGACCUCAUUUAACUCAAAAAGUAGCACAUGAAGGUAUAUUUUUUAUUACAUAUUUGAGUUAAUCAGGUACAAAAUAGCCUAGAUGCAAAUUUUCAUCAACUUGUAAAUACGGGAUCAAAACUGUAUCGUAUGACCUUAACUUGGCGACAAUUAUAAUUGUGAACUUUCAAUUUCUAAGUAGCAACAUUCCAGCAGCACCUGCAUACGGGGUAUAUAUCUCCCAAUUGAUACGAUAUUCCCGUGCUUGCAUUUCCUAUCAUGAUUUUCUUGAUAGAGGUUUGCUGCUCACAAGGAAGCUAUUAAACCAAGAGUUCCAAAUGGUGAAGUUGAAAUCAUCCCUUCGUAAAUUUU
rnacentral:lncRNA from 1 species